UGACUCUCGGCAAUGGAUAUCUUGGCUCUUGCAUCGAUGAAGAGCGCAGCGAAAUGCGAUACGUGGUGUGAAUUGCAGAAUCCCGUGAACCAUCGAGUUUUUGAACGCAAGUUGCGCCCGAGGCCAAUUGGUUGAGGGCACGUCCGCCUGGGCGUCAAG
rnacentral:rRNA from 5 species